GAUGAACGCUAGCGGUAGGCUUAACACAUGCAAGUCGAGGGGUAACGUGUUGGAAGCUUGCUUCCGAUGACGACGACCGGCGGAUGGGUGCGUAACGCGUAUGCAACUUGCCUCACAGUGGAGAAUAACCCGGAGAAAUCCGGACUAAUACUCCAUACACUCUUAAGUACGCCUGUACAUGAGAGGAAAGAUUUAUCGCUGUGAGAUAGGCAUGCGUCCUAUUAGGUAGUUGGUGAGGUAACGGCUCACCAAGCCGACGAUAGGUAGGGGUGCUGAGAGGCCGACCCCCCACGUUGGGAGUCAGACACGGCCCAAAUACGUACGGGAGGCAGCAGGGAGGAAUAGUGGUCAAUGGAGGAAACUCGGAACCAGCCAAGUCGCGUGAAGGAAGAAUGUCCUAAGGAUUGUAAACUUCUUUAGCGAGCGAGUAAGGACUUCCACGUGAUGGGAGUUUGAAAGUAGCUCGAGAAUAAGUAUCGGCUAACUCCGUG
rnacentral:rRNA from 1 species